GUGCUCGCUUUGGCCGCACAUAUGCUAAAAUUAAGACGAUACAGAGAUUAGCAUGGCCCCUGCACAAAGAUGACACGCAAAUUCGUGAAGCGUUCCACAUUUCU